rnacentral:miRNA from 2 species
UGGCGAGAUUGAAUAAGAGU